rnacentral:rRNA from 1 species
AUUGAACGCUGGCGGCAGGCUUAACACAUGCGAGUCGAGCGGGGUGAUGGUGCUUGCACUAUCACUUAGCGGCGGACGGGUGAGUAAUGCUUAGGAAUCUGCCUAUUAGUGGGGGACAACAUCUCGAAAGGGAUGCUAAUACCGAAUACGCCCUACGGGAGAAAGCAGGGGAUCACUUGUGACCUUGCGCUAAUAGAUGAGCCUAAGUCGGAUUAGCUAGUUGGUGGGGUAAAGGCCUACCAAGGCGACGAUCUGUAGCGGGUCUGAGAGGAUGAUCCGCCACACUGGGACUGAGACACGGCCCAGACUCCUACGGGAGGCGGCAGUGGGGAAUAUUGGACAAUGGGGGGAACCCUGAUCCAGCCAUGCCGCGUGUGUGAAGAAGGCCUUAUGGUUGUAAAGCACUUUAAGCGAGGAGGAGGCUCUUUUGGUUAAUACCCAAGAUGAGUGGACGUUACUCGCAGAAUAAGCACCGGCUAACUCUGUGCCAGCAGCCGCAGUAA